AGUAUAUAGUAUACAGUUAACUGUAUACUAGUAAUAGUAUUUGUAUUUAUUAAACUAAUUUAAUAGCAUAUUUUUAUUUAAAAAUUUAAAUAAUUAUAUUUAUUAAUUAUAUUAUAUAUUUUUAUAUUUUAGCGCCUCACUUCGCUCGGGCGAGCGCUUGGGCAAGUGCCUAGCGCCUCAGGCGUUUUUGGACCUUGGCGCCUAGCGUUUUUUAAAUCACUAGUAGAGGAUAACUUUGACAAAAAAAGAAGGGAAUAAAAUAUUUAUUUUCUACCAAAAAAUAGAAGAUACAAGAUAAAUUCCUUGAAGAUCAACUUCUUUCUAAUGCAACCUUGCAAUCACGGGGCAAAUUAGAAUGCUUUAUACUUAGAUUAGGUUAUAGAUUUCUUAAAAAAGAAAGAGGGACUGAGCGCGUGGUUCGUGUUGGAUUCGCUCAUGUCUCCACCUACUAACCUACAAAUACAAUUAACCACAAUAUAGAAAGAUCCCUUCAUGCUUGCCAUAGUUUAUGUUAUAACUUUUUCUCUAAAGCUUGCCAUAUUAUAGUUAGUUGAGAGGAUUAAUAACUACUACUAAAAUUGCAUCCACAGACUAAACAUAAAAGAAUGGAAAAAUUAUUUUACCUUUCAUACUUAGCUUGUAAAAUAAAUAAGAGACUUAUACUUCCAAAUUUACUUGUUCUAUCUGAACACCUUGUAUGUUAUAGUAACCAUUGGCUUUCAUGCCAAGGCAGUGAUAAUAUAUGAUUCCUCCAACGUUAGCCGAGCUUGAGUCUUAAUUACAAUGUAAGUAAAAGUAAAUAUGAUGGCGAUGGCAUACUUUUUUGGUAUGAACAUCUUAUUGAUAACAUAUCUGUAUUUGAAAACAAAUAACUCAUUAAUUAAUGCUGUACCUAAAAUGAGUUAGUAAUUUUUAAUUAAUCUUGGUCAAUUGAUCGUAGGUCACAAUCAACCAAGUAACUUCUAAAGAUGCAAGUAAAUGCUUAAUGUCUAUGGACUUGAGGUGCUAGUCGAAUGAUAAUUAAUAAGCUAUAAUGGAGUUAUUUAUAAAUAUAGUUAUGAUUGGAUGAGAAAAGAAGUAGAAUGAUAAGGUAGAAUAAUUUGCUUGAUUAGUGAGUAGUGAUUUAAAUAUGUGCUCGGGCGAGGCGAGGCCCGAGAGCCUCGUGUGUGGAUCAAACGACACGCUUCAAUGAGGCGUCGCUUGGGCGCUCACCCGAACUUGGGAGUCGGGCGCUUUGGGCGAGCACGCUAUCACAGACAAAAUUCUAAACAGGAUGUUUGAUGUAAUGCUUAUGUAUGUCCGUGUCCUUUGGUUUGAUCAUGCUUUGCACAGCAUGUAGAGGGACGGUCGAAGGCGUAACAAACCCCAUUUAGUUGGGUUUGGUGGCCGUUUUAGGCUUGUAAAUAAAUGUUGUGUCAUGUGGACACUUGUGAGAGAUACUUGGUCUGUAGUGGACUAUUUUAACCCUUUCUUGUGCAACUGUUCAGAGCUUGUAAAGUCUAUUUGUAAUAUGCAUUGGCUAUGAAGUGUUUUAUGAAAUGUUUGCUUAUGAAUCCCGAGUGAGGCGCUUUCUCUAACCCGUUUUCUCUUUUGUAGGUCCUAAGGGACCAUGGGAGGUUUCGGGGAGGCUGACCUUUGCGGAUGGACACGCAAGGGUGCCGCACUACUUAGGCAAAACCAGCUAAGUCUAUGAUAAAUGGUAUCAGAGCGGGACAAGCACUCAUAGAAACACUUGGCAUACAAACAUGGGGGACCUAGUGGGGCUGCGAUGAGGGUAGCCAACACGCGCGAUCGUUUGGGGGAAAAUAGGGAUGAAGAUAUAGGGAAAAGAAGUCGCUCAAAGAAGCGGGCAUCUGAGAUUGACAUUCAGAGGAAUAGCCAACCCUUCGUGGAAGAGGCACCAUGAGAACAAGCAAGCUUGGAAGAAUGCGUAGAGCACAAAGGUUGGGAUGGUUGAGUUCGAGCUACGGCUCGACGUUGAUAACUAUACUUGAUGGUGCUCAAGGCAAGCGAGACGCUUGGUAACGGAUGAGACCAUGCAAUGUGGAAUGGGUUGCUUAGCGACCGAAAGAGUUGUGCAAAGCUCAGAGAGGUGAGGGGAAUUGCUAACUCGAAGAAUUCGGUACUCAUGCAAGGGCUUGUAUGUGGACGAUGGAAUGUUCGUGGCCAUCCCAAGGCGACCGAAACUCGGCGCCAUAGAGCAUUGGAACUUUCUCUUCGGCACAAGGACACGUCCGUAGGAGGCUGAAGUGUGUAGCAAGUUCAGCAUGUUGCUAGGCCUUGAGUGGUGCAGCGGGGGUCGUAUUGACGUGGAGUCGCAAUCUAGCAAGUGUGUUUGCAGGAGGCAGAACAAUGCAUAGUUUGUUCAGCAAGUCGGAGUAGUUCAAGGGGAUGGUGGUCUCUGAAACUUUCAUAGGGAAGGAAACGAAGAGAGAUGUUGCUCCAACGGGAUAGAUAUCCAGGAGGGAUAAGUCCCGACUCUCUAGAGGGAGAAUCAUAUGCAAUGGGCUGUACAUGUUGAGGAGGAGUACCUCAAAAACAACAACUCCACGAAGCUCAAUGGAUUGAGCGAGCGGUGAGGAGUCGUUCAAUGAUCUCGCUUUAGAGAAUACAUUGGUGGAUGCAUUGCGAGAUCAAGUGCGGGAGCGACCCAAGACAACACAAAUGAAGGCACACUUGGAGUCGAUAUGGAGAUCGGACUUAACGAAAGGCUGACCUAUGGAAUGGUGGGCGCGAGGGCCACCAUCAACUCAAUGCAAAACGAGGAGCGGAGCAACUUGAGUGUUACUUGGCGAAGUACCCAAGCCGCAUAAAGGGAGCCGACAUAGAAGAUGAAACAUGGAGCGGAGGCACAGAGCUUUCCUUGGACAUAGAUCAAGGACAUGAACUCUUGUAGAGGCAAGAGCAGGAUCAUGUCGUUCCAUGGGUCCUUCAUUCUGAUGGAGCGGUGACACGGGAGUGUCUAAUUUACUACAAUAUGAUUAUAUGAGCCUUAAUUAUGAUCUAGUAUCUUUUUCAGUCAAUAAUGAUGCCUCAUAAUCUUUAUCUCAGCACACUAAAAAAAUGACAGCUCAUCAGCAUAUUCUCUGCACAAAGUUAAAGCUGUUUCAAGGUGCUUUUCUUCAAGACAAAGGAAUGCAUUAAAGGAGUUGGUUGGCAGCUGUGAACAUUUCUUCAUUACUAAUGAGUGCAUUAAAAUAGUUGGUUAGAAGCUGUAAACACUUAAUUUCGAAAUUCCCUAUGCAUGAAGGGUUGUUUCAUGCACUAGUAUUUAUUUUGGUGUUUAGGACUUAGAAAGGACUUUAGAAAACUGAGGAUAUUGGCAGAAGCUCUCUUGGAGUGCUCUUUUGAACUCUGUAUCUCUUGGAUGCGUCCUUGAGUGGUGAGUCUUUCGCUUUCAGUUCUGUAUCCUUGUUUAUUAUCAUUAGGGUGGUGAUCUUCUGUAUCCCUUUUGAUUUUUAAACUUGGUGGUGAGCUAUAUAUCGUUUUAUCGAAGUUUCUUCAAAAGUACGUUCCUUGCCUUUUGUGACAUUUUCUAUCUGAACAACUGUUAUAUCGGUUUUCUAUCGACAUCCAUUCUGCAAUUUUACCCUCCCGGUAUCAGUUUGGUAUCAGAGCUAAAGGCUAGAGAUCAUGGCAAGGCGGAAUGGAAAAGAUGUAGUUGGUGAAGGUAGCGAUCACGAAGAUGACGCUGAGUCGUUGAGGCUGCAGCUACGAAAAUUGCUGCGUAGCCUACAAGAAAAAAAUGAGAUAAUCGAUGAACUUCAGAGUAGACAUAACAAAUAUGAAAAUGAAGCUCGAGAGUUUACUUCUGAUGAUGAUACACUUCUUCCAAGGGAGUCGAGAAGAUGUCGGAGAAGAAAUGAAGUCCAAGACGAGUGGCAGAAUAAAUAUAACCCCAGAUUUGAUAUUCCAGAAUUUGAAGGCAAAAUAAAUGUUGAUGACUUUAUCGAUUGGCUUAAUACAGUAGAAAGAAUCUUCGAUUUUCAUGAACCACCAGAACAAAAGAAGGUCAAACUUGUGGCACUCAAACUCAGGCGGAAUGCAUCUUUUUGGUGGGAAAAUCUGAAGAAACAAAGAGAACGUGAGGGGAAGAGUAAGAUCGUUACAUGGGAGAAAAUGAAAAGGGAGCUAAAGAGAAAAUAUUUACCUCAUAAUUAUAGACAAGAGAUCUUUCUCAAAAUACAUGAUUUCAAGCAAAAAGAUCUUAGUGUGGAGGAGUACACUGCAGAAUUUAAUAAUUUGAUGUUAAAAGGAGAGCUUGUGGAACCGGAAGAGCAAACAAUUGCAAGAUACUUGGGAGGUCUGAAGUAUGAGAUUGCUAAAGUUGUUCAGCUACAGCCAUAUUGGUCUUUAAAUGAUAUGAGCAAGCUGGCAUUAAAAGUUGAAAAGCAACAGAAGUUUGAAAAGAGUUUUCGGUAUAGCUCAAAAGAAGGCUACACAAAAGGAGGAAGUUCCAAGCCUACUGUCCAAAGCAAGGUGAUAUCGAAGGUGCAAGAAAAGGGUGAAGAAUCUGCUGGCAGCAAAAAAACACCUAAUUCUUCUACCCCAAGUGGCCGAAAAUGCUUCAAAUGUCAUGGUUUUGGGCAUAUCGCAUCAGAUUGUCCAAAUAGGAGGAUUGUAACUUUGGUUGAAGAUCAUAGUGAUGGAGGAGAAGAUGAAACUGACAACGAACCAAAAUACGAUGAUGAUGAGGAAGAGAUUACUUAUGCUGAUCAUGGUUUGUCUAUUGUAUUGCAACGUAGUUUACAAGUGUCAUAUGUGGCCGACGAUGAAAGUUGGGUGAGAAAAAAUGUGUUUCACACUAAAUGCACUUCUCUUGGCAAGGUGUGCUUGGUGAUCAUCGACAGUGGCAGCUUUGAGAACGUGGUUUCUUUGGAGAUGGUGCAGAAGCUGAAGUUGGAUACGAUCCCUCAUCCACAUCCAUACCAAUUAUGUUGGUUGCAAACAGGAAAUGACAUCAAGGUAACUAAAAGAUGUUUAGUUUCAUUUUCUAUUGGCAAGUAUUAUAAAGAUAAAGUGUGGUGUGAUGUUGCCCCUAUGGAUGCUUGUCAUUUACUAUUGGGAAGACCUUGGCAUUAUGAUAGAAGAGUGUUGUAUGAUGGUUAUAAACAUACUUAUUCUUUUAAAGUGAAUGAAAAGAAGAUUAUCUUAGCUCCAUUACAACCUUCCGAAAUCAGUGCGCCAAAGAAGGAAGUUAGUGCUUUUAUUUCUUAUAGAGAAUGCAGAUAUGAAUUGGACAAGGGCGGUCAUGUUUUGGCCCUAAUGGUAGUAGAGGAGAACGAACAGCAUAAGGAGACACCGAAAAUCAUGCAACCAAUCCUAGAAGAAUUUCAAGAUGUUAUACCGGAAGAGAUUCCACAUGGCCUUCCACCUUUGAGAGACAUUCAACAUCACACUGAUCUUAUUCCGGGGGCUGUUCUACCUAAUAAGGCUGCGUACAGAAUGAGUCCUAAAGAACAUGAAGAACUUCAAAGGCAAGUUGAUGAAUUAGUGAAAAAGGGGUUAAUUCGGGAGAGCAUGAGUCCCUGUGCAGUUCCAGCCUUGUUGGUGCCUAAGAAAGAUGGUUCUUGGAGAAUGUGCGUGGACAGUCGCACCAUCAACAAAAUCACAGUGGACUAUCGCUUUCCUAUUCCAAGGUUAGAUGACUUACUUGAUCAAUUGUGUGGUGCUUGUAUUUUCUCAAAAAUUGAUUUGAGGAGUGGCUAUCACCAAAUAAGAAUGAGGCUCGGAGAUGAGUGGAAAACAGCGUUUAAAACUAGAGAAGGCUUAUAUGAAUGGUUGGUUAUGCCAUUUGGACUAUCUAAUGCUCCUAGCACAUUCAUGAGAUUUAUGAAUCACAUACUUAAGCCAUUCAUUGGAAUAUUUGUUGUUGUUUAUUUUGACGAUAUAUUGGUGUACAGCAAGAGUGAAGAGGAGUAUAUGAGUUAUCUGAAAGAAAUCUUUCUUAUUUUGAGGCAGCAAAAACUUUAUGCUAAUCUAAACAAAUGUGAUUUCUUUACUUCUAGUGUGGUGUUUUUGGGGUAUGUUGUUUCAAAAGAUGGAAUCAUGAUGGAUCAAAGUAAGGUGGAAGCUAUUCUCAAUUGGCCAACACCUGCUUCAUUACAUGAUGUGAGGAGUUUCCAUGGCUUAACAUCUUUUUAUAGAAGAUUCAUCAAGAGUUUCAGCUCUAUUGUCGCUCCAAUCACCGAAUGUCUGAAAUGUGACAAAUUCAAAUGGACUAGUGAGGCUAACGAUGCUUUUGAGCUUUUGAAAAGAAAGGUUACUGAGGCUCCUAUCUUAGUUCUACCAAAUUUUGAUAAUGUGUUUGAAGUUGAAUGUGAUGCAUCUAAUGUGGGAAUUGGUGCUGUUUUGAGUCAAGACGGAAGGCCCAUUGCAUUUUUUAGUGAAAAGCUGAAUGAUACAAGAAAGAAAUACUCUACUUAUGAUAAGGAGUUUUAUGCGAUUUAUCGAGCUUUGUCUCAUUGGAGUCAAUAUUUUCUCGCCAAGCCAUUUGUUCUAUAUUCUGAUCACGAGGCAUUAAAGUUCAUUAAUCAUCAGCACAAGCUAAACAAGAGGCAUGCAGCUUGGGUGGAGUUCUUACAAUCUUACAACUUUACAAUCAAGCACAAAUCUGGUGUUCAAAAUGUAGUUGCUGACGCAUUGAGCAGAAAGCAUUCUUUAUUAUCAGCAAUGGAAGUCAAAGUGGUUGGAUUUGAAACAUUCAAAGAUCUAUAUGAGAAUGAUGUGGAUUUUGGCUCGAUAUGGCAGAAUUGCAAAUCAGGUUCCUUUCAACAAUUUUCGAUCUUUGAUGGUUUUCUUUUUCGAGCGAAUGCUUUAUGUGUUCUAACUUGUUCUUUGAGACAAGUAAUUCUAGCUGAAGCUCAUGGUGGUGUUUUGGAAGGACAUUUCGGUAGGGACAAGACUCUAGCUCUUGUUCAAUCAAAUUUCUACUGGCCUAAAAUGUUCAGAGAUGUGGAUAGACAUGUGAAGCAAUGCCGAUUAUGUCAUUUGGCAAAAACAAGAAGUCAAAAUUCUGGGUUGUACACUCCAUUGCCAGUGCCAAAUGCUCCAUGGGAGGAUGUGAGUCUUGAUUUCGUUUUGGGACUGCCAAGAACUCAAAGGAACAAGGAUUCUAUCAUGGUUGUUGUUGAUAGAUUUUCAAAAAUGUCUCACUUUGUUCCAUGCAAUAAAUCAAAUGAUGCAUCUCAUAUUGCUGAUUUAUAUUUUAAGGAGAUUGUUAAAUUGCAUGGUAUUCCAAGAACUAUGGUGUCUGAUCGAGAUUCAAAAUUUGUUAGUCAUUUUUGGAGAACUCUUUGGAGGAAGCUGGGUACUUCUUUGAAUUUCAGUAGCUCGCAUCAUCCACAAACCGAUGGGCAAACUGAGGUAACAAACCGAAGCUUGGGAAAUUUACUUAGAAGCUAUGUUGGCAAGAAUAUUAAGCAAUGGGAUGUCAUUCUUCCACAAAUUGAGUUUGCUUACAAUCGUUCUAUGCAUCAUAGUAUUGGUAAGAGUCCUUUUGAGGUAGUUUAUGGUGCUAAUCCUGCUGGUCCUUUGGACUUAAUCCCUCACUCUAUAACAAAGCAAUUUAGUGGAGAUGCUGAUGAAAGAGCUAAGCAGAUAAAGAAGCUGCAUGAGGGUGUGAAAGCAACCAUUGAGAAGCAAAAUGAGAGGUACAUGCAUGCUGCCAACAAACACAGAAAACAUGUGGAGUUUAAUGCAGGUGAUUUGGUCUGGAUUCAUCUAAGGAAGGAGAGGUUUCCACCAGGCAAAUUUGGAAAAUUGAAACCAAAGGCUGAUGGUCCAUUCAAGGUGCUUAAGAGAAUUGGCAGAAAUGCUUAUGAGAUAGAGCUACUUGAAGAUUACGGAGUAUCCCCAACAUUUAAUGUGGCUGAUUUGAGUCCUUUUUAUAAUCAUGUUGAUGAAUCAAACGAAGACUUGAGGACAAGUCUCAUUCAACCGGGGGAGAUUGACACGGGAGUGUCUAAUUUACUACAAUCUGAUUAUAUGAGCCUUAAUUAUGAUCUAGUAUCUUUUUCAGUCAAUAAUGAUGCCUCAUAAUCUUUAUCUCAGCACACUAAAAAAAUGAUAGCUCAUCAGCAUAUUCUUUGCACAAAGUUAAAGCUGUUUCAAGGUGCUUUUCUUCAAGACAAAGGAAUGCAUUAAAGGAGUUGGUUGGCAGCUGUGAACAUUUCUUCAUUACCAAUGAGUGCAUUAAAAUAGUUGGUUAGAAGCUGUAAACACUUAAUUUCGAAAUUCCCUAUGCAUGAAGGGUUGUUUCAUGCACUAGUAUUUAUUUUGGUGUUUAGGACUUAGAAAGGACUUUAGAAAACUGAGGAUAUUGGCAGAAGCUCUCUUGGAGUGCUCUUUUGAACUCUGUAUCUCUUGGAUGCGUCCUUGAGUGGUGAGUCUUUCGCUUUCAGUUCUGUAUCCUUGUUUAUUAUCAUUAGGGUGGUGAUCUUCUGUAUCCCUUUUGAUUUUUAAACUUGGUGGUGAGCUAUAUAUCGUUUUAUCGAAGUUUCUUCAAAAGUACGUUCCUUGCCUUUUGUGACAUUUUCUAUCUGAACAACUGUUAUAUCGGUUUUCUAUCGACAUCCAUUCUGCAAUUUUACCCUCCCGGUAUCAAGCGGGCUCAUCUUACAUGGUGCCAAAGACAAAGGGAGCUUCGAGGCACAUGCACCUUACCUCAGAGAAGCAUUUGACGGAGGAAUUGAGGCGACUCUGUUGAAUCUCGUAUUUUGAUGAUGAAACCACUUGAUAUGUGUUUAUAUUUUAAUCUGCGUUUUGAGUGACGCAGGAUGCUUCGAUCAGGAUGAGACAAUUAAAGCAGGAAAAAUCAUGUUGUGCCGGAGGAACAUGUCAGAAGAUUGGAUGUCGGGCCGAUGGAUCGGUCGACGUAUCGACAGAAGGCUUCGGGCCGUGGACUUGGGCAUCGGGCCAAGAAAAGCGGGUAUUGCGCCAAGGAUAUCGGAGUUGCGGAGUCAACUGGCCGAUUGGGCAAUAGGUCGCAGGAGAGGACGAUGCGCCGAAGAAUCGGAUGAAGCGUCGAGGGACCAAUGACAUGCCAGACAACUUAGUUAAUUGCUUAGGAUUAAUUGUCUCGAUCGAAGUUUUGUUUUAAGUGUGCAGGAUUAACUACGAUGAAAGUAAGAUAUGCAGCAAGAGUUGAGCCGGAGUCAAAGACUAUAACCACAUUGGGAGUUGAGAGCUUGACGGAAGUCCGGACGGUCGUCGGAGGUUCUGCGGGAACAAAUCCGAGAAGUCCAGGAGCUUGCCAAAAGAAGCUCGUCGGAACUCGUCAAGUGGAUCGUCGCAAGUCCAGGAGUUUGCCGGAAGUCGGUUGGAGCAUCGCCAGAUGUUCGCCGGAAGCUCGCCGGAAGAAGCGAUUGACGCACCGGAGCAAGCUGUAGUAAAUGUCUUAAGAAUUGUCGUAGUUAGCAUGUAGAUUAAGUUAGGAAUGAGUAACUUAAUCUGGGGGCAAUUGGGCCUUUGACAGACCCAAAUUGGGCCGAAUGGAUCAACCCAUUCGGACUAGAAUUCUUACUAGGCGGUGGCACCGCCCAAGAAAGGGUCUCCCAGGAAAGUUGGGGGGUGCAACCGCCCUAGGCAGGCGGUGGCACCACCCAGGAAAGGGUCUCCCAGGAAAGCUGGGCGGUGCAACCGCCCCUGACAGGCGGUGGCACCGCCAGGGCUCAGUCUCUGAGCGAGACUGGGCGGUGUAACCGCCCCUGUCAAGCGGUGGCACCGCCCAGAGGCUCAGUCUCCGAGCUCUGCCAAGCGGUGCAACCGCCCCUGACAAGCGGUGGCACCGCCCAGAGGCUCAGUCUCCGAGCUCUGCCGAGCGGUGCAAUCGCCAAACCCUGGAAUUCCGGGUGAUGACAGUUUUGAGCUCCAAAUUCAAACUGGUUUGGAGCCUAUAAAUAUCCCUCCCAUCCCUGGGUAAAAGACACAAGCACAAAGAGAUUAAAAGAGAGAAAACGCUGUUGCAAUCUCUAGAAUUUCCCUCCUCUAGCUUAAGUGUUAGAAUUCUGUUUAAGAGAGGAGAGUGAGUGCUUGUAAGGGUUGUCUCCUAAACCCAGUAAAAGGAGAAGAGGGGUGUAAGAAGGAGAUUGAUCUUCGCCUAGUAAAGGAAGAUCGUUAGUGGAUGCCGGUGGCCUCGAUGGAAGAGGAAUCGGAGGAGUUGAUGUAGGUCACGAUUGACCGAACCACUAUAAACUCUCGUUUCUCUGGUUUGCAUUUACUUUGAGCAUAUUAUCUUUACUGCAAACCUCCUCAAUAACUUACUGCCUUCUGCGCAUUUACGAUCGUGUUUCAAAGUUCAGUAUUUUCCGAAUCGGCGUUUAGACGUAAAUCGCUUUUAUCGUACGAACGCAAUUUUAAUCGUCGAAAGUUAUUUGCUGCACUAAUUCACCCCCCCCCCCCCUCUUAGUGCUCUUGAUCCUAACAAUUGGUAUCAGAGCCCGGUAUUUUCUUAUUUCGGAUUUACACCCGAGAGAAAUGGCUCUUCAUGGCUUUAAAGAGGGUUUUUCGGUUGUUCGUCCACCGUUGUUUAAUGGAUUGGACUACACUUAUUGGAAAACUCGAAUGAGAGUUUUUUUGAUUUCUAUGAAUUUGGAUUUAUGGAAUAUUGUUAAAACGAUUUUCAAUUUCCCUCUAAACCGAUGAACGAAUGGUCGGAUUUGGAGAAGAAGUAUUUUUCUUUAAACGCAAAGGCUAUGAAUGCCUUGUUUUGUGCACUUGACAAAAAUGAAUUUAAUCGCGUUUUGAUGUGUGAUUCGGGUUUUGAUAUUUGGAGAACUCUUGAGGUCACUCAUAAAGGCACUAGCCGAGUGAAAGAGUCCAAAAUCAACUUUUUGAUGCAUGAUUUCGAGCUUUUUCAAAUGAAGCCAAGCGAAACCAUUGGUGACAUGUACACCCGUUUUACGGAUGUCGUCAAUGGUUUAAAAGCUCUUGGAAAAUGUUUUUCGGAUUUUGAACUCGUAAACAAGAUUUUGCGUUCUCUUUCUAAGAAGUGGGAUUCAAAAGUAACUGCAAUACAAGAAGCUAAAAUCCUAAACAACUUACCACUUGAAUAACUAAUUGGUUCGUUGAUGACAUAUGAAAUGGUGCACAAUGCACAUGAUGAACAAAAUCACCUUCCAAAGAACAGGAAGGAUUUGGAACUCCGGACAAAUGAAUACCACUUGAGCAAUGACUCAAGUGAUGAGGACAAUGAUGAACUUGAACUUCGAAUACUAAAUCUUAAUAAGUUUAUUAAACAAAAAUCUAAAAUAAACAAUAAACUUGAACGAAGGAAGAGGCCAAAGAAGAACACAAAUUGGGAUGAAUCGAGCUCCUCCGAAGACGAGGAGAAAAUCAAGAAAGACGAGGUGGCAAACUACGCUUUAACCGCUUUCAAUGAUGAGGAUUUAAAAAUGAAGUUGCAUCUACAUCAUCUCCUGAUUCUUCUCUAGAAUUCUGCAUUGUUCAAGACGCUGACCGACUUGAUGCAAUUGGUGCUAUUGGAAUUGCUCGGUGUUUCACAUAUGGUGGAAGUAAGAAC